rnacentral:lncRNA from 1 species
UGCUUUGGUUUCAAAGUUAUAAGCCAAAAUCUACAUUUUACCCUGAUGUUCUAUUUAUAGCCAUGGUGGCCAUCUUGGUUGGUAGGCCGGGUCACCGGACACAUUUUUUUUUAAACUAGAUACCCUAAAAAUUAUUGUGGCUAAGUUUGGUUAAGUUUGGCCUAGUAGUUUCAGAGGAGAAGAUUUUUGUAAAAGAUUACAAAAAUUUACGAACAAUUGGUAAAAAAUGACUAUAAAGAGCAAUAACUUCUUUAGGGGUCAACUGACCAUUUUGGUCAUGUUGACUUAUUUGUAAAUCUUACUUUGCUGAACAUUAUUGCUGUUUACAGUUUAUCUCUAUCUAUAAUUAUAUUCAAGGUAAUAAUAAAAAA